rnacentral:sRNA from 1 species
UAUAAGAACUAGAACCGCAAUCGGU